rnacentral:rRNA from 1 species
UACGAAGGGGGCUAGCGUUGCUCGGAAUCACUGGGCGUAAAGCGCACGUAGGCGGCUUUUUAAGUCAGGGGUGAAAUCCUGGAGCUCAACUCCAGAACUGCCUUUGAUACUGAGAAGCUUGAGUCCGGGAGAGGUGAGUGGAACUGCGAGUGUAGAGGUGAAAUUCGUAGAUAUUCGCAAGAACACCAGUGGCGAAGGGCGGCUCACUGG